rnacentral:rRNA from 1 species
GACGUAGGUGGCGAGCGUUAUCCGGAAUUAUUGGGCGUAGAGGGUGCGUAGGUGGUGUAAUAAGUUAUCCGCGGUAAAUCGGGGCUCAACCUCGUGGAAGUCGGUAAUACUGUUAUACUUGAGUGCAGGAGAGGUUAACGGAACUCCAUGUGGAGCGGUAAAAUGCGUAGAUAUAUGGAAGAACACCAAGAACGGCGAAGGCAGUUAACUAUUCUGUUACUGACAUUGAGGCACGAAAGCGUGGGGAGCAAAACGG